UACGUAGGGGGCAAGCGUUGUCCGGAAUCAUUGGGCGUAAAGAGCGUGUAGGUGGCUCGGUAAGUCCGCUGUGAAAGUCCAGGGCUCAACCCUGGAAUGCCGGUGGAAACUGUCGAGCUCGAGUCCGGAAGAGGCGAGUGGAAUUCCUGGUGUAGCGGUGGAAUGCGCAGAUAUCAGGAGGAACACCAAUAGCGAAGGCAGCUCGCUGGGACGGUACUGACGCUGAGGUGCGAAAGCGUGGGGGAGCGAACAGGA
rnacentral:rRNA from 1 species